AUGUGAGAAAAUACAAAGGUGACAGCUAAAAGAAUUAGGCCCACCUUAGGAUUCAAUCAACCAAAGGACCAAGCAGGAUUUGUUACACGCUACUCGCCAAUAGACAAUAUUCACAAUAUCAAGCAGAUGGUAGUUAGGAGGUAUGUAGAGAGAGCAAAUGGUGACGAGUUUGUUCAAAAGAACUACUCGAACAGCCACUGCCUCAAGGGACGUUUGGAGUGUUUGGGCAACAACGUGAAUACGCAGCUUGGUCGCCAUCACAGUUCACACAGUGUGGAGUUUGAGUACGGGUGUCCGAGGCAUGGCCUUGGACACCACAUUUUGCACAGAUAACAUUGCCUUGAUGAGUAACUUAAGGGUGAAUUGCAAAUCAUGAUUACUGAAUUGGACAAAGAACGCAGAAUGGGAAUUACAAGGAAUCCAUGACUUUCUACCUUUCUUGGGAGCCCUUACCAUGUGAAAUGUAAAGCAUUAUGCUAAGCAUAUUUUAAUAAAGGAACAAAGCUCUCAUAAGCCUCAUUUGUAUUUGUACUGCUAGAUUCACAUACAGAAUGAAUUUACUCAAGGAAUCUUGUAACUAAGUUGUCCCAUGUCUCAUUCUAGAUUGGACCACAGACACUACUUACUUUUCAGUGACUCCAAGGUCAGAUAGUGUAUUUUCAAUUGCAGACCCAUGUACUGUGUCCUUUCGUAAACCCUGUGCUCUUAUUACAAAAGUAUAUCUCCUGUGGUUGCUAAAUAGCUAUGACAUUUUCAUGGUUGGGGCCAGUCCAUCUGGUAGUUAGUAUCCUGGCUGUGAAUAAUGGUGGGUG